GCGCAUACACAUGCAAGUCGAGCGAGGGCUUAUCUCCCGCAAGGGAGGUGAGUUCCUAGCGGCGAACGGGUGAGUAACACGUGGGCAACCUUUCCUAUCGCGGGGGAUAACACCGGGAAACCGAUGCUAAUACCGCAUGUCGUCACCGGUCGCAUGGCCGGUGAAGAAAGCAGCAAUGCACGAUGGGGUGGGCCCGCGGCCUAUCAGCUAGUCGGUGGGGUAAUGGCCUACCGAGGCGAUGACGGGUAGCUGGUCUGAGAGGACGGCCAGCCACACGGGGACUGAGGCACGGCCCCGACUCCUACGGGAGGCAGCAGUGAGGAAUCUUCCGCAAUGGGCGAAAGCCUGACGGAGCGACGCCGCGUGUGGGAUGAAGUCUUUCGGGAUGUAAACCACUGUCGGAGGGGAAGACAUCGACGGUACCUCCAAGAAAGCCCCGGCUAACUACGUGCCAGCAGCCGCGGUAAUACGUAGGGGGCAAGCGUUAUCCAGAUUUACUGGGCGUAAAGCGCGUGUAGGCGGCUGGUUAAGUGUGAUGUGAAAUCUUCGGGCUCAACCCGAAAACCGCAUUGCAAACUGGCCUGGCUAAAGUGCAGGAAA
rnacentral:rRNA from 1 species